GAUGAAGAACGCAGCGAAAUGCGAUAAGUAAUGUGAAUUGCAGAAUUCAGUGAAUCAUCGAAUCUUUGAACGCACAUUGCGCCCCUUGGUAUUCCGAGGGGCAUGCCUGUUCGAGCGUCAUUAUAACCCCUCAAGCUCAGCUUGGUGUUGGGGCCUGCUGCACUGGCAGCCCUUAAAACCAGUGGCGGCGCCAUCUGGCUCUAAGCGUAGUAAUUCUUCUCGCUAUGGAGUCCUGGUGGAUGCUUGCCAUCAACCCCCAAUUUUUCUAUGGUUGACCUCGGAUCAGGUAGGGAUACCCGCUGAACUUAAGCAUAUCAAUAAGCGGAGGA
rnacentral:misc_RNA from 1 species